rnacentral:rRNA from 1 species
AUGGGCGCAAGCCUGAUGCAGCCAUCGCCGCGUGUAUGAAGAAGGUCUUCGGGUUGUAAAGUUCUUUCAGCGGGGAGGAAGGGAGUAAAGUUAAUACCUUUGCUCAUUGACGUUUCCCGGCCAACAAGCACCGGCUUACUCCGUGCCAGCAGCCGCGGUAAUA